rnacentral:rRNA from 1 species
UACAGAGGUCUCAAGCGUUGUUCGGAUUCAUUGGGCGUAAAGGGUGCGUAGGCGGCGCGGUAAGUCGGGUGUGAAAUCUCGGAGCUUAACUCCGAAACUGCAUUCGAUACUGCCGUGCUUGAGGACUGGAGAGGAGACUGGAAUUUACGGUGUAGCGGUGAAAUGCGCAGAUAUCGGGAGGAACACCAGUGGCGAAGGCGGCACUCUGGGCCAGUACUGACGCUGAGGAGCGAAAGCGUGGGGAGCGAACAGG